CAGAGGACUGAGCUUGUAACAAUAAUUGACAGGGAGCUAAGAUGGAGGCGAUCAAUUGCAGGAUGAAGAGCGACAGCAAAUCCGUUUGAGAAUAAUAUAGAGAUGGCUGAAGAUGAUCAUAGGAGGAGGCAGAACAGGGCGAUCGUUAAAUGUCAUAAUGAGCUGGUAACGUUGGAACUUCCAAACUUGAUUUGAAAUCGACUUUACUUCAAAAAAUGUAUUGCUGUAUGAAAAUAAAUGAGAUUUCAUAUUUAA